rnacentral:rRNA from 1 species
GACGAACACUGGCGGCGUGCCUAAUACAUGCAAGUCGACCUUAGUGGCUAACGGGUGAUUAACACGUUGGUAACCUGCCCAUCAGAAGGGGAUAACACUUGGCAACAGGUGCUAAUACCGUAUACUUAUGUCUGGCCCCUCUGUGCAUUUGCUAGUUGGUGAGGUAACGGCUCACCAAGGCCACGAUGCAUAGCCGACCUGAGAGGGUGAUCGGCCACAUUGGGACUGAGACACGGCCCAAACUCCUACGGGAGGCAGCAGUAGGGAAUCUUCGGCAAUGGACGAAAGUCUGACCGAGCAACGCCGCGGGAGGGAAGAAGGUUUGCGGAUCGUAAAACUCUUUUGUUGGAGAGGCGGUAUAUAAACAGAAAGCAACGGCUAACUACGUGCCAGCAGCCGCGGUAAUAC